rnacentral:rRNA from 1 species
GACGAACGCUGGCGGCGUGCUUAACACAUGCAAGUCGAACGGUAAGGCCCUUCGGGGUACACGAGUGGCGAACGGGUGAGUAACACGUGGGUGAUCUGCCCUGCACUUCGGGAUAAGCCUGGGAAACUGGGUCUAAUACCGGAUAGGACCACUGCCUGCAUGGGUGGUGGUGGAAAGCUUUUGCGGUGUGGGAUGGGCCCGCGGCCUAUCAGCUUGUUGGUGGGGUGAUGGCCUACCAAGGCGACGACGGGUAGCCGGCCUGAGAGGGUGACCGGCCGACCUGGGACUGGGAUACGGCCCAGACUCCUACGGGAGGCAGCAGUGGGGAAUAUUGCACAAUGGGCGCAAGCCUGAUGCAGCGACGCCGCGUGAGGGAUGACGGCCUUCGGGUUGUAAACCUCUUUCAGCACCGACGAAGCGCAAGUGACGGUAGGUGCAGAAGAAGGACCGGCCAACUACGUGCCAGCAGCCGCCGUAA